rnacentral:rRNA from 1 species
AACGAACGCUGGCGGCAUGCCUAACACAUGCAAGUCGAACGAGACCUUCGGGUCUAGUGGCGCACGGGUGCGUAACGCGUGGGAACCUGCCCUUAGGUUCGGAAUAACUCCCCGAAAGGGGUGCUAAUACCGGAUAAUGUCUUCGGACCAAAGAUUUAUCGCCUUUGGAUGGGCCCGCGUUGGAUUAGCUAGUUGGUAGGGUAAAAGCCUACCAAGGCGACGAUCCAUAGCUGGUCUGAGAGGAUGAUCAGCCACACUGGGACUGAGACACGGCCCAGACUCCUACGGGAGGCAGCAGUGGGGAAUAUUGGACAAUGGGCGAAAUCCUGAUCCAGCAAUGCCGCGUGAGUGAUGAAGGCAUUAGGGUUGUAAAGCUCUUUUACCCGGGAUGAUAAUGACAGUACCGGGAGAAUAAGCUCCGGCUAACUCCGUG